ensembl:snRNA U6 U6 spliceosomal RNA
UGCUGCUUACUUCAGCAACACGAUACUAAAAUUGGAACAACGCAUAGAUAAUUAGCAGAGCCCAGCCCAAGAUGAUACACACAUUUAUAAAAUAUUUUCUAUUAUU